rnacentral:rRNA from 1 species
GACGGAGGAUGCAAGCGUUAUCCGGAAUGAUUGGGCGUAAAGCGUCCGCAGGUGGCAGUUCAAGUCUGCUGUCAAAGACCGGGGCUUAACUUCGGAAAGGCAGUGGAAACUGAACAGCUAGAGUAUGGUAGGGGCAGAGGGAAUUCCUGGUGUAGCGGUGAAAUGCGCAGAUAUCAGGAGGAACACCGGUGGCGAAGGCGGCCUUCUGGACAGUGACUGACGCUGAGACGCGAAAGCGUGGGGAGCAAACAGG